CAAUAGCGUAUAUUAAAGUUGUUGCAGUUAAAAAGCUCGUAGUUGGAUUUCUGGUGAGAUGGAUUAUGUCUAGGUCGAAAGAUCUUGUUCAUGGUUCGUUUUGCCCUUCUUGUCAGGAACCCGCUGAGAUUCGCGUCUUGUCGGUGGAAUGGCAUCGUUUACUGUGAAAAAAUUAGAGUGUUCAAAGCAGGCAUCGCCGUUGAAUACAUUAGCAUGGAAUAAUAAGAUAAGACUUUUGUGGUCUAUUUUGUUGGUUUGCACGCCAAAGUAAUGAUUAAUAGGGAUAGUUGGGGGUAUUCGUAUUCUAUUGCUAGAGGUGAAAUUCUUAAAUUUAUGGAAGACGAACUACUGCGAAAGCAUUUACCAAGGAUGUUUUCAUUAA
rnacentral:rRNA from 1 species